CCGCCGACCCCCGUCCCGCCGAAGCCCCCCCGUGCCCCGCCGCUCUCCUUCCACUCCUGGCCGUGGUGCUUCUGGGCGUGGACGCGCAGGUAGGUGAGCGUGCUGAAGCUGCGGUUACAGAGGU